AUGUGCACAAGACAACUAAUUCACUUCACAUUUGUAUCAAUCUGAGAUUCUGUGAUUAUAGAAGGUUAAUUUGCUCAAUUUCAUGGUAGGAAAAUCAUAUGCUUUAGUUGAUUUUUGUGCCAUAUUUCUGGAAUUGAGUGUUGUGGAAGGCAAUGGUAGAAUUUGAGAAGGGGACACCUCAAGUUGGUUUAAGAUUCAGAAAUCCAGAUGAGACUUGGAAGUUUUGGGUUGCAUAUGGAGGUUGUAGAGGCUUUGAUAUGAGGAAAAGGUAUGCAAAUGUAUGCAGCUAUGAUGGCAAAAUGCAGAUUUGUUCGUUUCAAUGAGGGUCAUCGACGAAAAGGGAAAACAAAUAAUGCGACAAGUAUUUUAGAGCUGAAACAAAAACUGACUGUAAAAGCUCGAUAAUCGUAAAACGAAAGCAAGAUGAUGGUGUACAACCUCUAAAGAAAGUGGAGAAUGAUGGCAACAACGAAAGGAGUAAUCAUGGACGUUGAAGAGUACAAUGUUAUUGGCAAUUUUACCCAACUCGUGACAGCUCCAAUUUAUGAUGAUGAUAUUUUUCAUGUUGAUAAUCUGGUCUAGUAUGUGCAAGUUGAUUAGGAGUAUUUUGAACUGGCUAGGACUAACUAUAGUAUUUUGUGGAGUAACUAUAGCAUUUUGUGGAGUAACUGUACUGAUUGGUCAAGUAAUAGCAUUUUCUGUAGUAGAAUACCAAUUUGAGAGACUUAAAAGUGCCAUGCAUUGGUGAUGUACUAUGAAUGUCACUUCCAGUGAUUCAAAAUG